GGGUCUGUGAUCGGGUGACAUGACUCGAAAUCAAGUGACUCCUUACGGGGUCCGUGGGUUCGAAUCCCACCCUCUCCGCCA
rnacentral:tRNA from 1 species